rnacentral:rRNA from 2 species
CAGAUAAUCGAUCAGUGGUUUUGAUUCAUGGCUCAGGACGAACGCUGGCGGCGUGCCUAAUACAUGCAAGUCGAGCGGACAGAUGGGAGCUUGCUCCCUGAUGUUAGCGGCGGACGGGUGAGUAACACGUGGGUAACCUGCCUGUAAGACUGGGAUAACUCCGGGAAACCGGGGCUAAUACCGGAUGGUUGUUUGAACCGCAUGGUUCAGACAUAAAAGGUGGCUUCGGCUACCACUUACAGAUGGACCCGCGGCGCAUUAGCUAGUUGGUGAGGUAACGGCUCACCAAGGCAACGAUGCGUAGCCGACCUGAGAGGGUGAUCGGCCACACUGGGACUGAGACACGGCCCAGACUCCUACGGGAGGCAGCAGUAGGGAAUCUUCCGCAAUGGACGAAAGUCUGACGGAGCAACGCCGCGUGAGUGAUGAAGGUUUUCGGAUCGUAAAGCUCUGUUGUUAGGGAAGAACAAGUGCCGUUCAAAUAGGGCGGCACCUUGACGGUACCUAACCAGAAAGCCACGGCUAACUACGUGCCAGCAGCCGCGGUAAUACGUAGGUGGCAAGCGUUGUCCGGAAUUAUUGGGCGUAAAGGGCUCGCAGGCGGUUUCUUAAGUCUGAUGUGAAAGCCCCCGGCUCAACCGGGGAGGGUCAUUGGAAACUGGGGAACUUGAGUGCAGAAGAGGAGAGUGGAAUUCCACGUGUAGCGGUGAAAUGCGUAGAGAUGUGGAGGAACACCAGUGGCGAAGGCGACUCUCUGGUCUGUAACUGACGCUGAGGAGCGAAAGCGUGGGGAGCGAACAGGAUUAGAUACCCUGGUAGUCCACGCCGUAAACGAUGAGUGCUAAGUGUUAGGGGGUUUCCGCCCCUUAGUGCUGCAGCUAACGCAUUAAGCACUCCCCGUCA